UGCAGGUCGACCGUAUGGGAGAGCUCCCAACGCGUUGGAUGCAUAGCUUGAGUAUUCUGUAGUGUCUCCUAAAUAGCUUGGCGUAAUCGUGGUCAUGGCUGUUUCCUGAAUGACCUCGGAAUGCAUGUUCUGGGGUGGAAAGAUUUAUCGGUGCGAGAUGGGCCCGCGGCCUAUCAGCUUGUUGGUGAGGUAACGGCUCACCAAGGCGACGACGGGUAGCCGACCUGAGAGGGUGACCGGCCACACUGGGACUGAGACACGGCCCAGACUCCUACGGGAGGCAGCAGUGGGGAACAUUGCACAAUGGGCGCAAGCCUGAUGCAGCGACGCCGCGUGCGGGAUGACGGCCUUCGGGUUGUAAACCGCUUUUGACAGGGACGAAGCGCAAGUGACUGUACCUGUAGAAUAAGGACCGGCCAACUACGUGCCAGCAGCCGCGGUAAUACGUAGGGUCCGAGCGUUGUCCGGAAUUACUGGGCGUAAAGAGCUUGUAGGCGGUUCGUCGCGUCGUUUGUGAAAACUUGGGGCUCAACCUUAAGCUUGCAGGCGAUACGGGCGGACUAGAGUACUUCAGGGGAGACUGGGAUUCCUGGUGUAGCGGUGAAAUGCGCAGAUAUCAGGAGGAACACCGGUGGCGAAGGCGGGUCUCUGGGAAGUAACUGACGCUGAGAAGCGAAAGCAUGGGUAGCAAACAGGAUUAGAUACCCUGGUAGUCCAUGCCGUAAACGGUGGGUACUAGGUGUGGGGCUCCUUCCACGGACUCCGUGCCGUAGCUAACGCAUUAAGUGCCCCGCCUGGGGAGUACGGCCGCAAGGCUAAAACUCAAAUGAAUUGACGGGCCGGGG
rnacentral:rRNA from 1 species